rnacentral:rRNA from 1 species
CCUACGGGCGGCAGCAGUGGGGAAUAUUGCACAAUGGGCGCAAGCCUGAUGCAGCCAUGCCGCGUGUGUGAAGAAGGCCUUCGGGUUGCAAAGCACUUUCAGCGGGGAGGAAGGCGGUGAGGUUAAUAACCUCAUCGAUUGACGUUACCCGCAGAAGAAGCACCGGCUAACUCCGUGCCAGCAGCCGCGGUAAUACGGAGGGUGCAAGCGUUAAUCGGAAUUACUGGGCGUAAAGCGCACGCAGGCGGUCUGUCAAGUCGGAUGUGAAAUCCCCGGGCUCAACCUGGGAACUGCAUUCGAAACUGGCAGGCUAGAGUCUUGUAGAGGGGGGUAGAAUUCCAGGUGUAGCGGUGAAAUGCGUAGAGAUCUGGAGGAAUACCGGUGGCGAAGGCGGCCCCCUGGACAAAGACUGACGCUCAGGUGCGAAAGCGUGGGGAGCAAACAGGAUUAGAUACCCGGGUGGUC